rnacentral:rRNA from 1 species
AGAGUUUGAUCAUGGCUCAGAUUGAACGCUGGCGGCAUGCCUUACACAUGCAAGUCGAACGGUAACGCGGGGGCAACCCUGGCGACGAGUGGCGAACGGGUGAGUAAUACAUCGGAACAUAUCCAGUAGCGGGGGAUAACCUAUCGAAAGAUGGACUAAUACCGCAUACGAUCUACGGAUGAAAGCAGGGGACCGCAAGGCCUUGCACUAUUGGAGUGGCCGAUGUCGGAUUAGCUAGUUGGUGGGGUAAAAGCUUACCAAGGCGACGAUCCGUAGCUGGUCUGAGAGGACGAUCAGCCACACUGGAACUGAGACACGGUCCAGACUCCUACGGGAGGCAGCAGUGGGGAAUUUUGGACAAUGGGCGCAAGCCUGAUCCAGCCAUGCCGCGUGAGUGAAGAAGGCCUUCGGGUUGUAAAGCUCUUUCGGUGAAGACGAAACGGUUCAUGCUAAUAACGUGAACUAAUGACGGUACUCACAGAAGAAGCACCGGCUAACUACGUGCCAGCAGCCGCGGUAAUACGUAGGGUGCAGGCGUUAAUCGGAAUUACUGGCGUAAAGCGUGCGCAGGCGGUUUGCUAAGACAGGUGUGAAAUCCCCGGGCUUAACCUGGGAAUUGCGCUUGUAACUGGCAAGCUAGAGUGUGGCAGAGGGGGGUGGAAUUCCACGUGUAGCAGUGAAAUGCGUAGAUAUGUGGAGGAACACCGAUGGCGAAGGCAGCCCCCUGGGUUAACACUGACGCUCAUGCACGAAAGCGUGGGGAGCAAACAGGAUUAGAUACCCUGGUAGUCCACGCCCUAAACUAUGUCAACUAGUUGUCGGGGAAGAAAUUCCUUGGUAACGAAGCUAACGCGUGAAGUUGACCGCCUGGGGAGUACGGCCGCAAGGUUAAAACUCAAAGGAAUUGACGGGGACCCGCACAAGCGGUGGAUUAUGUGGAUUAAUUCGAUGCAACGCGAAAAACCUUACCUACCCUUGACAUGCUAGGAAGCCCGCAGAGAUGUGGGUGUGCCCGAAAGGGAACCUAGACACAGGUGCUGCAUGGCUGUCGUCAGCUCGUGUCGUGAGAUGUUGGGUUAAGUCCCGCAACGAGCGCAACCCUUGCCAUUAGUUGCUACAUUCAGUUGGGCACUCUAAUGGGACCGCCGGUGACAAACCGGAGGAAGGUGGGGAUGACAUCAAGUCCUCAUGGCCCUUAUGGGUAGGGCUUCACACGUAAUACAAUGGUCGGUACAGAGGGCUGCCAACUCGCAAGGGGGAGCUAAUCCCAGAAAGCCGAUCGUAGUCCGGAUUGUAGUCUGCAACUCGACUGCAUGAAGCCGGAAUCGCUAGUAAUCGCGGAUCAGCAUGUCGCGGUGAAUACGUUCCCGGGUCUUGUACACACCGCCCGUCACACCAUGGGAGUGGGUUCCACCAGAAGUAGUUAGCCUAACCGCAAGGAGGGCGAUUACCACGGUGAGAUUCAUGACUGGGGUGAAGUCGUAACAAGGUA